ensembl:lncRNA
CUGGUGUGACAAGCAUAGUAUAUAUUCCAUUUAUGUUCCAGGAAAAUCGUGUGUCUCUUCUUUUUUAACAUGUUGUAAAAUUCUUAUGUCAUGUUACAAACUGGUUUCUUUUUACUUUUGUGAUUCUGCCAUUUUCUAGUGGAAUAGUUGCUAUUUUAGUAAUCCUCAUGUUAAAACUACAUCAUUGAAAUGGAAACUUCCAUUUGGCACUCUGGCAUUUAGACUUCUCUUUACUCUGAUUUUUUCCUUCCUCCAUAGUCCUUUCUCUCUUUCAAUGUGCUUUAUAACUGAUUUAUGGUUACAUGAAUUGUUCUUUGGAUCCUGUGACUGUGUGCAUGCUCAGUCAUGUCUGCCUCUUUGUGACCCCAUGGACUGUGCCCUGCCAGGUGCCUCUGUCCAUGAAAUUUUUCAGGCAAGAAUACUGGAGUGGGUUGCCAUUUCCUACUCCAGGGGAUCUUCCCAACCCAGGGAUUGAACCCAUGUCUCCUGCGUCUCCUGCGUCUCCUGCAUUGGCAGGUGGAUUCUUUACCACUGAGCCACCUGGGAAGCCUCUUCUUGGAUCUUACCUGACCAGAAUAAAAUCUCUGAGUUCACACAUUUCUAUCUUGUUCAGUGAAACAUCCUCAGUGUCUCAAACAUCCCCAUCACAGAGUAUUUGUGAAAUAAUUCCACUGGAUAAGUGAAGUUCCUGUAUGGAUUUCAGCUUCCACUCUGUUUCCACAGCUUAGAGUUGAAAUCUGACUCAGACUUUCAAACUGAUCUGGCCCUGAAUCCAUCCACUAACCUAUACUUCCUUCCUUCUUUUCUUCCUUCCAUCUGCCAGCUCUCAGCUUCCAGUCUGCCUAGGCUCUAACUCUUCCCAUUGCCACCUGAAACUUGGUUUUUUACACUUUCUUCUCGCUAUUAGCUAUGGUUCUUUGACCUAAUACUGCCAUAAUGUGGUGAAGCAUUAAUCUGUAGAAGGAUAGAGGUACACCAGUAAGUAUCCCUUGGAGAAGGGAAUGGCGACCCACUCCAGUAUUCUUGCCUGAAUAUCCCGCCAGUAAGUAUCCCACGGACAGAGGAGCACGGAGUCAGACACGACUGAAGGACUAAGCACACACACACCAGUAAGCACAAGGUGGCUGCCAAUGUUUCACACAAGGAACACAGGUGUGAGUGUUGGAACUGAUGGUUCCCAGGACACUGCAUCACAAAAGGCCCUUCUGGCAUCUCCCCAUCUUUCAGCAAGAAUAGCACGCAUCCUGAGAGUUGUUACGUGGACUUUUCAGCUUUCAAUUCAUUUCAGAUGUGGCUUAAAGUAACAUGUCAUUCAGAGUUUGUUUGCCUGUAGGGUGAUUCAUUCAUUGAUCUCCUAAACAAACAUAUAGUAGGUAGGGGAGAAGACAGGAGAAAAAGGGAGGGAAGGAAGAAAUGACAGAGGAAACAAUUUUUACCCUAGGGCAUCCAUGUUGUGAUUACCUCUCAAAAACUAGAAACAAGCAGUUUGGUUCCCUGUGUGAAAAUUCAAACUGGUAAAACCAUGAACUUGAGGUGAGUUCUGUGGCUUCUCUAAAGUAUCUGGGGUUCUGUAGCUUGGUUGGUUGGUUGUUGCUUUCAUUUAAAAGAAGAUGAUAUUUAUAAAUGAGAGAGGGAUUAGAAUAUGAAUAACAAAAUGAAGCUGAUGAUUCCUGUUUAAAAUAUUGAAAAUUGGGGGUCAGAAAAGAAUCAAAUCAUGAAUCUUUUCUUCAUACCUGUAAGAACCAGGCUGUAAAUUUAUUGCGUGUUGUAUAGAGAGCCCAAAAUAGUAUGUGUGUGUAUGUUUAAGACACUUCUCUGUGACUCAUUCAACAAACAUGAUCAUCUUCCAAGUGCAAGGCCCCGCGUCCAGUGCUACAGGAAGAACAGCAGGAGACAAUGGCAGAACAAUGAGAGCUCGUGGGACUUCUCUGGCGAUCCAGUGGCUAAGGCGCCACACUCCCAAUGCAGGUUCAAUCCCUGAUCAGGGAACUAGACCCCACAUGCCUCAAAUAAGAGUUCACAUACCACAACUCAGACCCGGCCCAGACAAAUAAAUAAAAAUAAAUAUAAAAAGAACAAUGGGAGUUACUAUUUCUAUGGGCAAAUAUGCUGUGCCUGUUUCUUUCAAAAGUUAUACUUGAGUCUCACAAAAAUCUGCAACAUAGAUAUUAUAAUGUGUACUUUCCUUCCAAGUACGAGAAAACUGAAGAUUAGAAAAGUUCAGUAAUAUUCCAAGCCAAACAGCUUACAUGUAUUCAAUUCAAUGUUUUGACAGUACCACAUCCAUGUUAUUUUGACUAAGCCGCCUUCGAGGUACUCAUAACCUGGAAGACAUGAUCUCUCUCAUUUGCUCAACUUCUUUCUUUCUCUCUCUCUGUCUCACACACACACUCAUCUAGGCUGUGAUCUAUAUACAUAUCUAAAAGAGAGACAAAUACUCUCACUUGAGCACCUAGAUUCUGAGGGCUCCGGUGGCUGCCUGGUCAUUUGCCGGCAGUUCAUGCUGUAGUCUACGCACUCGAGGGCGUGAAUGUACUGACAACUGUCCAUGUACUUACUCCCUGUGCACCCACUAAGUGCAAGAGAUACACACACUCCUAAAACCUAGUCCUGUCUUCAAGGAGAUUAGUUGCGUAUAAGAAAUUUAUAUGUCAAAAAAGUGUUGUAGUAUUGGCCAAUUUCCCAGUUCUUUUGAAAAUGUACCAGGUAGGAAAACAACAUGCCACUUGCAACAGAAUAAAGAAAACACAGAUAUUGAUCAAAAUGUUAUAAACCUGGCUUAAAGGAAAGUGUGGCUUAAGUAGUGCAAAGAGGCUCAUUUGAGAACUAUAGACCGUUUUCUUUUCCUCUUCUCUUUCAAAACAUUUCUUUCAGGCUCUUUCUCCCUCAUAAAAUUCAUAUUUUGCAUCCUUUAGGAAAAAAAAUAUUUUUCAGAGCUUACAGGUGGCAGUAGAAUGAAGGGUUAUAGAAAAUAACUAGUUUUAACUGCACAUGGGACUUCCCUGGUUGUCCAGUGGUUUAAAAUCCACCUUUCAAUGAAAGGGAUGUGAGUUUGACUCCUUGUUGGGGGACUUGGAUCUUACAUGCUGCAACCAAGCCCGUACUCUGCAACUACUGAGCCCAUGCACCAUGAGACCAUGCACCACGACUGGAGAGAAGCCCCCAUGCUGCCAAGAACUGACACAGCCAAAUAAAUAAAUACAUGUUUUUUUUUUGGAAAAACACACACACACACAGAGUUCAUGGAUCUUUGGAGAGAGUUCACUGCGUGGCGACCCAAAUCAUGGAUAGUGGUUAUACUACAAUCAGGUGACUCAUUAUAGCAAACUAUUGGCUGCAUGUUCUAAAUUUAAUGUAGCUGGGAGAAUGUUUGGUACCCUGUUAAAUAGUAAGAACAAUCACAUUUCAUUUAAAGCAAAGCCAAUUUAAGAUAUUUUAUGAUUUCAGGGAUGUUAAAAUGUGAAAAAAAGUACAUCUUAGAAUUCAUAAAAUAGGAAUAUAUAUUAGUCAAGGCUCUCCAGAGAAACAGAAAAUCCAACAGGAUGUGUUUGUAUCAUUUAUUUCCAUCUAUCUUUCUAUCUAUCUAAUUUAGAUUUUAAGAAAUUGGCUCAUACAAUUGUAGAGACUUAGAAAGUCCAAAAUCUUGAGUAGGCUGGCAGACUGCAGACCCAAGGUAGUUUCAGAAGUCACAGUUCAAGUUCAAAAGUGUUAUUCUGGCAGAAUCCCUUCACCCUCCAGCAAGGUCAGUCUUUUUCUAGUAAGGCCUUCAACUGACUGAAUGAGGCCCACCACUGCCCACAUUAUGAAGAACAAUCUGCUUUACUCAAAGUUUACUGAAUUCCCUGUUAAUUUCAUCUAAAAAUUACCUUCACAGAAACAUCUAGGCUAAAUGUUUGGCCAAAUAUAUGGGCCCUGUGGCGUAACCAAUGCCACAUGAGUCACUGUGGCAGAGGGACAUUAGGAGGAAGAUUCUCUUUGUUGUGGGAAGUGUUAGCGCUGGAACUCACCCUGUCACGGCACAAAGACAUGAGCAGAGCAGUGCUGGUUCUUCCUCUCAAGGCUUUUUUGUGGGUUGGGGUUCACCCUGUCUGAUCUCUUCUGGGCCUUCCCUUCAAAAGGGAAUCAUCCAUAAUGCAAUCAAUUAAACCCACCCCAUAGAGCAAACUUCUGGUGAGCUGCAAAGGGAAAUAGCUCUGUCCUUUUCUCUAUGUUACUAAUGUUUACAUUUCUGUUUUUCUAACUUGGACAGAAGCCAGACCCCUGGGAUUUGGGGGUGAGGGGGAUAUGGGGGGAAAAUCAAAUGUUCUGCCAAUAUAUGAAAUAUAAUUUUUUUCCCUAAAUUUUAGUUUAGCUCUUCUUUGUUGGAACUUGUGCCAGUGGUCAGAAAGAGGAGGAAGAGAGAAAAAGUAUGGUCUCCACACUGCCCCCAUCCACCACAAUCAGACCACAUUUCACUCCUACCCACCUUUAACUCUUCUCACCACUGGUUUCCCGUCCAAACACCCCGGAACCCACUGCUCUUAUAUUCUCUAGAAUGUUCCCAGGCCUGUCUCUGCCAGCAGUUAUCCCCUGUUAAAUAUUACCAUGAUCAGUUUCUUCCCUCCUCCUGCUUGCACAAUCCUGGAACCAGUGACUCACUCUUGCUUUAUUGUAAGUAUUUACAUUUUGGUUAAAAUCAUGGACCUUGGAGCCGUGGAAUCUCUUCUUCGCCACUUGUGUGACACUCGCAUCUGUUCCCUCACCUAUAAAACUGGGAUAAUGACAGUAUUUACGUCACAGAGGCUGAAGUCUGAGAUCAGAGUGCCCCCCGGACAGGACCUGGCAACGGCCCUAUUCCAAGAUGCAGACUGCUAACUCCUCGUCGCCUCCCGUGGUAGAAAGAGAGCCAGCCAGUUCUCUGACCUUUUCUUGAUGUUUGAAGAAUGGGGAUGGAACACAGUACCUUCAAAGUGUUCAUGUGUAUUUUUAUCAAAAAACUAAGAGGAGAAGGAAAUGACAACCCAUUCCAGUAUUCUUCCCUGGAGAAUUCUAUGGAUGGAGGAGCCUGGCAGAUUGCAGUCCUUGGGGUUGCAAAGAGUCAGAGACAACUGAGCAACUAACACACAUACAUGACAAAUGUGUUUCAAUUACUGAAAACGUGUGAAACACUACCUGUGUGUAUUUCUUAAAUGCCGGCUCUAUGCAAGGCAGACAUGAUGUUUGCCCUCAUGGAGCUUUGGUUUCAGUGGCAUCUUCACUGUAAAUAAAAGGACAGUUGCCUUUUCAAUUAUUCCUUCUGUGAAGCUUGGUAGUGGAGGCCAAACUCACAGGACUAAAACAUAUCAGACUAUAUCAGUACAUUAGUAUCAGAAUGGAGAAACACUGAGAAAAUAAGAAUAAUAAGAGGAGGUAUGAGUGGAGGAGACAAAAAGAGUAACAGAAUGUGUGCUUAGUGAGUAGAGGUGGUGGUGGGGAGGGAGGCACCUGUGACCACGCUGGGAACUGCUCAGUGGUCUAGACCACCCAGCCCUCAAGUACAUGCUGCCCGUUUUCGUAACACUUUGCACUGCUUGAAAGGGAAGAUCCUGUGGCCACAGAAACAGUCUGGGAACUGAUAUUAUCAGUUUGGGCCAGUUAUCCAGAUCAGACCCGGUUGAGUUGCUGAGAGAAAGCGGCAGGAUUUCUGACUGCCAGGCUAGACUAUAUUUUCCCCCUUUUAUGGCUCAUUAUAAAAAUAUUUGUGCUGACCUGUAAGCUGAUCAGUGCCAACUGGAGUCAGCCCACUUGAGAGGAAAAUUAUUUAUGAUUACAAUUUGGCUGCAAGGCUCCUUGAGUAUUUCUGCCUCCCUGAGUUGAGAAUUGAAAUUAUCAAGACCCCAAACUACAUUUUCUCAGUUCUGUGGGAAGGCUAUCUAGUAGCUUCCUUGGAUCACAAUAGUUAGUCGUCCUUAGGAAACACCCAAAGAGCUGUUGUGUAGCUUUCCCUUAAUCAUACACUGUCUUUGCCACCUCAUUCAUCCUCCUGUUAAACUCACUUCUCAACAAAAUUUCCCUUUUCUUUAAAAGCCUCUCCUGGUCUGUCUGGGUUAUGUAUUGACCUAUUUAUUUUGUGUGUGGGUGGUUUCUGUGACUCCUCCUGGCUGAAAAAUGUCAUGACUGAAUCUACAUUGUCAGCUUUGAGCAUCAUGGAAAUCCUCACCCCAAUGCCUGUGCACCUGCUUCACUUCCAAAGUCCUCCUGAGCUUGCUUAUCUGUGGCUGUUGAAUUCAGUAGCUUGAGUCAUGAUAAUGAGGCCAAGAUUGUGGUUUUGAUGCAUGAAAGUGAAACGUGAAAGUGUUAGUCCCUCAGCCCUGUUUGACUCUUUGCAACCCCAUGGACUGUAGCCUGCCAGGCUCCUCUGUCCAUGGGGAAAGAAUGCUGGAAUGGGUUGCCAUGCACCUCUUCCAGGGGCUCUUCCUGACCCAGGGAUUGAACCCAUGUCUCCUGUGGCUCCUGCAUUGCAGAUGGAUUCUUUAUCACUGAGCCACUGGGGAAGCCCAUACUCCAUUUAUAGUUAUUAUAAAUAUUGGCUAUAUUCUCUGUGUUGCAUAAUGGAUCCUUGUAGUUUAUCUUCUACAUAGUAGUUUGAAUCUUUUAAUCCCCUACCCCUAUCCUUGCCUUUCCUUCUUUCCCUCUCCUUACUGGUAACCACUAGUUUGUUCUCUGUACCUGUAAGUUUGUUUCAUUUUUGUUACAUUCACUGGUUUUUAUUUUUAGAUUCCACAUAUAAGUGAUAUCACAUGGUAUUUGUCUUUCUGUCUGACUUGUUUACUUAGCAGUAAUGCCCUCCAAUGGUACCCCACUCCAGAACUCUUGCCUGGAAAAUCCCAUGGAUGGAGGAGCCUGGUGGGCUGCAGUCCAUGGGGUCGUGAAGAGUUGGACAGGCCUGAGAAACUUCACUUUAACUUUUCAUUUUCAAGCAUUAGAGAAGGAAAUGGCAACCCACUCCAGUGUUCUUGCCUGGAGAAUCCCAGGGACGGGGGAGCCUGGUGGGCUGCCGUCUAUGGAGUCGCACAGAGUCGGACACGACUGAAGCAACUUAGCAGCAGCAGCAAUGCCCUCCAUGGCCGUCCAUGUUAUUGCAAAUGGCAACAUUUUAUUCUUUUUAAUGGCAGAAUAGUAUUCCAUUGUAAUACUAAGUUUCUUAAUGGUGUUAUCUUCCUCAUAAUUCUUUGCAGAUGUCAACAUCAGUAAUAAUCUGUUUCAGAAGCAUAUGAGUAAUCAAGUUGGAAACUAUCUUAAAGAUUUUAACCAUGGAGUACAGAUUGGCAGUCCAAGUAUAGAUUUAGCUCUCAGGCUUGUUUUAUUUGACCUUCAUCAUGUUAUAAAAAUAUAUAAAUUCAAAUGUCUUCAGGCACAUUCUGUAGUCCAUAUAUAUGGAAUCUAGAAAGAUGGUACUGAUGAAUCUACUCACAUACAGCAAUGGAGAUACAGACACAGGGAACGGACUUACGGACAAGGACAGGGGAGAGGAAGAAGAGGGUGAGAUGAAUGGAGAGAGUAGCAUGGAAGCAUAUACGCUACCAUAAGUAAAAUAGAUGGCCAAUGGAAAUUUGCUGUAUGACUCAGGGAACUCAAACCAGGGCAUAAAUAUGUGGUGAAUGCAUUCACAACUUUUUAAAGUGAGAACUUGACAAGUCUGGGCUAAUCCCAGAAAGCAGACUAAGCAAAAUUACGAUGCUGCCAGUACACGGGGUGGAGUUUCCAUAAGAGUCAGGACACCGCUGCUCUGUUUCCUGGUUCUUCAGCCAUGGAAAAAACCAGCUGCAGUUUGCUUCAUAAACCAUUGUAUAAAUGACGCUAUGUGCUCAAGGGUGAUCGAGUCCAAAGAACUUUGCAUAAAUGUCUUCUCUGGUCGGGGAGAAACCAGUUGUUUAGCUCACAUCAUUGGUCGAUUUUGGAUCUUGUGGCCAGUUACCCCAUUGAAAGAAACAAAGCAAAAGUGAACCUUCUGUCUUUUUGAGGGUUGGGGGAAAGAACUUCAAAACUGGUGAAAAAGAUACAAAGAACUCAAUAAUGGAAACAUAAGAAAAUACACCUACCUAAAUGAAAGUGAAAGUUGCUCAGUCCUGUCGGACUCUUUGCAACCCAGUGGACUUAGUCCAAGGAAUUCUUCAGGCCAAAAUACUGGAGUGGGUAGCCUUUCCCUUCUCCAGGGGAUCUUCCCAACCCAGGGAUUGAACCCAGGUCUCCCACAUUGCAGGCAGAUUCUUUACCAGCUGAGCCCCAAGGGAAGCCCACCAAAAUGAACUGGGACACAAGUAACCAAGCUUAUCAGUGAUACAUAUCAAGUUUUUCAAUGGACAGCUUCAUGAAUGAAGUGAUUCUUGAGUAGAGUUUUGAAGAUGUACAGCAUAGUAGAAAGGAUAUUCCUUUAGAGAGAUUAGACAGGACUGGUGUUUAUCAUUGGGCUGCACAACGAGAGCACAAAGUGUGAGUUGUGGACACAUAUUUCACUAGUACCACUGUCUGCCCCAUCUUAAAAAGCAACCAGACAAAAAUCUCUCCUGGAACGUAAUAGCCCUUUGUAGCUAGUGGGUACCCUAAUCCCCUCAUGGAGACCAUGCACAGACAACCCAGUCCUCUUUCUGGACACGUGGCAACAUUGCAUUCCUCCUCUGCCUCCUAUGGCAGUGUGAUCUGCUUUGAAAAUUUGGAACAAUGUGUCAAGUGUUGCUUUCAGGAGAAAGUUUUGCAAUCCAUUGCCAUUAUGGGACUCAGCAGUUCUCUUUUUCUUGAGGUAAAAGUUAUAAAUGCCUGUGUUGAGGGGAGUCUCUCCUGUGUUGAGCAGAGUCCCCUGACGACCUGCCCUGGAUGCAGGGCACAGUGAGAAGUAAACUUUUGUUGUGUUAAGCCACUGAAAUUUGAAUUGGUUGUUGCUGCAGUAUAAUCUAGUCUUGGGUUGGUGGUGCUAGUGGUAAAGAACCUGCCUGCAAUACAGGAGACAUAAGAGACAUGGGUUUGAUCCCUGGGUUGGGAACCCCUGGAGAAGGAAAUGGAAACCCACUCCACUAUUCUUGCCUGGAGAAUCCCAAGGACAGAGGUGCCUGGUGGGCUACAGUCCAUAGGGUUGCAAAGAGUCAGACACGACUGAAAUGACUUAGCAUGCAAACAAGUCCUUCCUGGAUGAUUCAAUUAUACUUCUCUUUUCUCUGUGUCUGGCUUUUCUUUCACUCCUCAACUUUCUACACUCUUAUUUCUAUCCCUACUAUUUGAAUGAAACUACUGUGGACAGGUCAUGGAAUUACCAUAUAGUUUGGGGUUCUAUCUUAUUGGACACCUUUGGUAUAUUUAAUACUGUGGACCACUUCUUUCUUAAAAUUCUUUUUUCCUUUGGCUUCUAUGAUGUAACUCUUUCAACUCAACUUUCAGAUCAUUAAUUGUGUUUUAGGUAUAAAACCCAAAUAAAUUUCAUCUAUUCUCC